AUUGAACGCUGGCGGCAUGCUUUACACAUGCAAGUCGAACGGUAACAGGCCGCAAGGUGCUGACGAGUGGCGAACGGGUGAGUAAUGCAUCGGAACGUGCCCAGUCGUGGGGGAUAACUACUCGAAAGAGUAGCUAAUACCGCAUACGAUCUAUGGAUGAAAGCGGGGGACCGUAAGGCCUCGCGCGAUUGGAGCGGCCGAUGUCAGAUUAGGUAGUUGGUGGGGUAAAGGCUCACCAAGCCAAAGAUCUGUAGCUGGUCUGAGAGGACGACCAGCCACACUGGGAGUGAGACACGGCCCAGACUCCUACGGGAGGCAGCAGUGGGGAAUUUUGGACAAUGGGCGCAAGCCUGAUCCAGCAAUGCCGCGUGCAGGAAGAAGGCCUUCGGGUUGUAAACUGCUUUUGUACGGAACGAAACGGCUCUGGUUAAUACCCGGGGCUAAUGACGGUACCGUAAGAAUAAGCACCGGCUAACUACGUG
rnacentral:rRNA from 1 species